GACGAACGCUGGCGGCGUGCUUAACACAUGCAAGUCGAACGGAAAGGCCCAGCUUGCUGGGUACUCGAGUGGCGAACGGUGAGUAACACGUGGGUGAUCUGCCCCCAACUUCGGGAUAAGCCUGGGAAACUGGGUCUAAUACCGGAUAUGACCUGCUCCUGCAUGGGGGUUGGUGGAAAGCUUUUGCGGUUUGGGAUGGGCCGCGGCCUAUCAGCUUGUUGGUGGGGUAAUGGCCUACCAAGGCGACGACGGGUAGCCGACCUGAGAGGGUGAUCGGCCACACUGGGACUGAGACACGGCCCAGACUCCUACGGGAGGCAGCAGUGGGGAAUAUUGCACAAUGGGCGCAAGCCUGAUGCAGCGACGCCCGCGUGAGGGAUGACGGCCUCGGUUGUAAC
rnacentral:rRNA from 1 species